rnacentral:rRNA from 1 species
GACGAACGCUGGCGGCGUGCUUAACACAUGCCAGUCGAACGGAAAGGCCCAGCUUGUGUCGUCUGCUCGAGUGGCGAAAGGGUGGGUAACAAGGGAGUAACCAGCCCUUGACUAUGGGAUAACUUCAGGAAGAUAGGGCUAAUAACGGAUAGUAGCUCCUGCAGCAAGGCGUGGGUUGGCAUGUUUCGGCGGUUGGGGAUUGACGGGCGGCUUAUCAGCUUGUGGGUGGGGUAGUAGCUGACCAAGGCUUUGACGGGUAGCCGACCUGGGAGGGGAACAGGAACCAUUGGGACUGAGAUAAGGCCCAGACUCAAACGGUAGGCGGCGGUGGAGAAGAUUGUACAAUGGGAGGAAGCCUGAUGCGACAACGCCGCGUGCGGGAAGACGGCAUUGGGGUUGUAACCCACAUUCGCCUGUGACGAAGCGUGAGUGACGGUACUGGGUAAAGAAGCACCGGCUAACUACGUG